AAAUACAUAAGAAUUCCAUGUUUUACAACUAAUCUCAACAAAUAGGAAAAGCCCUCCAUGGAGGAGAACUUAGGGUUCUACAAAUUGAAGAGAUAAGGAAGAAAUUGGAACCAAAGAGAAGAUGCAAAGCCUUUCCCAAGGUUCUUGGCAGCUGCUCCAUGCUCCAUUUGCGCCUCCCCUUCGCAUCUCCAUCUCCAAUUUGUGAC
rnacentral:lncRNA from 1 species